AACGAACGCUGGCGGCAGGCCUAACACAUGUAAGUCGAGCGAGGACUUCGGUUCUAGCGGCGGACGGGUGAGUAACGCGUGGGAAUGUGCCCUUCUCUACGGAAUAGCCCUGGGAAACUGGGAGUAAUACCGUAUACGCCCUAUUGGGGAAAGAUUUAUCGGAGAAGGAUCAGCCCGCGUUGGAUUAGGUAGUUGGUGGGGUAAUGGCCUACCAAGCCGACGAUCCAUAGCUGGUUUGAGAGGAUGAUCAGCCACACUGGGACUGAGACACGGCCCAGACUCCUACGGGAGGCAGCAGUGGGGAAUCUUAGACAAUGGGGGCAACCCUGAUCCAGCCAUGCCGCGUGAGUGAUGAAGGCCUUAGGGUUGUAAAGCUCUUUCAGCUGGGAAGAUAAUGACGGUACCAGCAGAAGAAGCCCCGGCUAACUCCGUG
rnacentral:rRNA from 1 species